GCGGCAGGCUUAACACAUGCAAGUCGAACGGUAACAUAAAGAAGCUUGCUUCUUUGAUGACGAGUGGC
rnacentral:rRNA from 1 species